GAUGAACGCUGGCGGCGUGCCUAAUACAUGCAAGUCGAGCGAACAGACGAGGAGCUUGCUCCUCUGACGUUAGCGGCGGACGGGUGAGUAACACGUGGAUAACCUACCUAUAAGACUGGGAUAACUUCGGGAAACCGGAGCUAAUACCGGAUAAUAUAUUGAACCGCAUGGUUCAAUAGUGAAAGCCGGUUUUGCUGUCACUUAUAGAUGGAUCCGCGCCGCAUUAGCUAGUUGGUAAGGUAACGGCUUACCAAGGCAACGAUGCGUAGCCGACCUGAGAGGGUGAUCAGCCACACUGGAACUGAGACACGGUCCAGACUCCUACGGGAGGCAGCAGUAGGGAAUCUUCCGCAAUGGGCGAAAGCUUGACGGAGCAACGCCGCGUGAGUGAUGAAGGUCUUCGGAUCGUAAAACUCUGUUAGUAGGGAAGAACAAAUGUGUAAGUAACUAUGCACGUCUUGACGGUACCUAAUCAGAAAGCCACGGCUAACUCCGUG
rnacentral:rRNA from 1 species